rnacentral:rRNA from 1 species
GAUCCUGGCUUAGGAUGAACGCUAGCUACAGGCUUAACACAUGCAAGUCGAGGGGCAUCAUGUCGGUUGCUUGCAACCGAUGAUGGCGACCGGCGCACGGGUGAGUAACGCGUAUCCAACCUUCCCCUUAGUAGGGCAUAGCCCGUAGAAAUGCGGAUUAAUACCCUAUGUUGUUCGAUGCGGACAUCUAAGUUGAACCAAAGGUUUACCGCUAAGGGAUGGGGAUGCGUCUGAUUAGGCAGCAGGCGGGGUAACGGCCCACCUGGCCUACGAUCAGUAGGGGUUCUGAGAGGAAGGUCCCCCACAUUGGAACUGAGACACGGUCCAAACUCCUACGGGAGGCAGCAGUGAGGAAUAUUGGUCAAUGGGCGAGAGCCUGAACCAGCCAAGUAGCGUGCCAGGACGACGGCCCUAUGGGUUGUAAACUGCUUUUAUGCGGGGAUAAAGUGCGGCACGUGUGCCGUUUUGUAGGUACCGCAUGAAUAAGGACCGGCUAAUUCCGUGCCAGCCGCAGC